rnacentral:rRNA from 1 species
GUCCACGCCGUAAACUAUGGAUGCUAGCUGUACACCGUAUCGACCCGGUGUGUAGCGAAGCUAACGCGUUAAGCAUCCCGCCUGUGGAGUACGAGCGCAAGCUUAAACAUAAAGGAAUUGACGGGGACCCACACAAGCGGUGGAGCGUGUUGUUUAAUUCGAUGGUAAGCGAAGAACCUUACCAAGGCUUGAAAUCCUGCGAAGUUCUGCGAAAGCAGAGUGUGCCUUCGGGAACGCAGUGACAGGUGUUGCAUGGCCGUCGU